UACGGGGGGGGUAAGCGUUGUUCGGAAUUACUGGGCGUAAAGGGCUCGUAGGCGGCCAACUAAGUCAGACGUGAAAUCCCUCAGCUUAACUGGGGAACUGCGUGUGAUACUGGAUGGCUUGGAUUUGGGAGAGGGAUGCGGAAUUCCAGGUGUAGCGGUGAAAUGCGUAGAUAUCGGAAGGAACAUCAGUGGCGAAGGCGACUUCCUGGACCAUUACUGACACUGAGGCACGAAAGCGUGGGGAGCGAACAGG
rnacentral:rRNA from 1 species